rnacentral:rRNA from 1 species
AGCAGCCGCGGUAAUUCCAGCUCCAAUAGCGUAUAUUAAAGUUGUUGCAGUUAAAAAGCUCGUAGUUGAAUUUCGGGAUCAGUACGCUGGUCGUGCCUUUGGUAUGUACUGGUGUCACUGAUUCCUCCCUUCUGAAGAACCGUUAUGCCAUUUAUUUGGUGUGGCGGGAAAUCAGGACUGUUACUUUUAAAAAAUUAGAGUGUUUAAAGCAGGCUCGCGCUUGAAUACAUUAGCAUGGAAUAAUGAAAUAGGACGUUUGAUCUUAUUUUGUUGGUUUCUAGGAUCGACGUAAUGAUUAAUAGGGAUAGUUGGGGGCAUUAGUAUUCAAUUGUCAGAGGUGAAAUUCUUGGAUUUAUUGAAGACUAACUACUGCGAAAGCAUUUGCCAAGGAUGUUUUCAUUAAUCAAGAACGAAAGUUAGGGGAUCGAAGACGAUCAGAUACCGUCGUAGUCUUAACCAUAAACUAUGCCGACUAGGGAUCGGAUGAUGUUAAUUUUUUAAUGUACUCAUUCGGCGCCUU